rnacentral:misc_RNA from 1 species
UACAAACAUUUGGUUUAUAUACAGGUCAGGAAUUUGCUAUGGAUAGAAUGAGAAUUCUUGAUUUAUAUUUAUACAAUUCAACUAUAUUUUAAUUAAUAAAAUAUUGUUUUAUAUUUUAAGUAAAACUAAUAGAGAGAGACUGACUCCCUUCAAUUGUGCCAGUUGGCUUUCUUCUCCCCUUCAAUUAAUAGAACAAAAAAUAGAAAACUAAUCUAAGCAAAAAAAAAAAA